GUGGGGAAUAUUGCACAAUGGGCGGAAGCCUGAUGCAGCAACGCCGCGUGAGGGAUGACGGCCUUCGGGUUGUAAACCUCUUUCAGCACCGACGAAGCGGGAGUGACGGUAGGUGCAGAAGAAGCGCCGGCCAACUACGUGCCAGCAGCCGCGGUAACACGUAGGGCGCGAGCGUUGUCCGGAAUUAUUGGGCGUAAAGGGCUCGUAGGCGGUUUGUUGCGUCGAGAGUGAAAUCCCACGGCUUAACUGUGGGACUGCUUUCGAUACGGGCAGGCUAGAGGUAGGCAGGGGAGAGUGGAAUAUCCGGUGUAGCGGUGGAAUGCGCAGAUAUCGGAUGGAACACCGGUGGCGAAGGCGGCUCUCUGGGCCUUACCUGACGCUGAGGAGCGAAAGCGUGGGGAGCGAACAGG
rnacentral:rRNA from 1 species